UCCCAGUUCGGAUUGUAGUCUGNAACCCGACUACAUGAAGCUGGAAUCGCUAGUAAUCGCGGAUCAGAAUGCCGCGGUGAAUACGUUCCCGGGUCUUGUACACACCGCCCGUCACACCAUGGGAGUCAGUAACGCCCGAAGUCAGUGACCUAACCGAGAGGGAGGAGCUGCCGAAGGCGGGACGGAUAACUGGGGUGAAGUCGUAACAAGGUAAC
rnacentral:rRNA from 1 species